UCUGCGCUUCUCAAAAGUCCUACCUAACCAAAGUACUUUUUCAAGCCUCAAUGUGUUUUUUUUUUUAAAUACUAAUAAUUUUUUUUAGUAAUACAUUUUUGUGGUAGCAGAAGAAAUCAAUAUUGUGCGUUCGAUAGUGUUCAGCAGCUACAACCAGCUGUCAGCUCUGACGUGGAAAGAGCUUGAGGAAAAGGAUAAGGAGCUGGGGGAAAUGGAGAUGGACGCUUAACUUGCUGACUUUUGGCUGCGGCUUCUGUGGCUGCUGCUCCUACUGCUGAUGCAGCUAACGUCGGGAAAAAAAACUUGCCCUCGCCCAGUCUCCAUUGUUGUUGCCGUUGAUUAAAAUUAUACAAACGAGACUCGAUUUAUGAAAAAUUCAGGGGCCCACA